rnacentral:rRNA from 1 species
CGUAGGGACCGAGCGUUGUCCGGAUUCAUUGGGCGUAAAGGGCUCGUAGGCGGCUGUUCAAGUCGAACGUGAAAACUCGGGGCUCAACUCCGAGCCUGCGUUCGAUACUGAAUGGCUAGAGUCUGGUAGGGGGAUCUGGAAUUCCUGGUGUAGCGGUGGAAUGCGCAGAUAUCAGGAGGAACACCGGUGGCGAAGGCGGGAUCCUGGGCCAGUACUGACGCUGAGGAGCGAAAGCGUGGGGAGCAAACAGGAUUAGAUACCCUGGUAGUCCACGCCGUAAACGAUGGGCGCUAGGUGUGGGAGGUCAUCGACUCCUUCCGUGCCGCAGCUAACGCAUUAAGCGCCCCGCCUGGGGAGUACGGCCGCAAGGCUA